rnacentral:ribozyme from 1 species
AAAAACAAAAAAAAAACAAAAAAAACUAUCUUACUCAUUUCCUUGUUUUGUUUUGCUUUCGCUUUUGUCUCUCUCUAGAGCUAGAAUUGGAAUGAAAACU